rnacentral:rRNA from 1 species
AGUGAACGCUGGCGGUAGGCCUAACACAUGCAAGUCGAACGGCAGCACAGUAAGAGCUUGCUCUUACGGGUGGCGAGUGGCGGACGGGUGAGGAAUACAUCGGAAUCUACUUUUUCGUGGGGGAUAACGUAGGGAAACUUACGCUAAUACCGAAUAUGACCUACGGGUGAAAGCAGGGGAUCUUCGGACCUUGCGUGAUAGAAUGAGCCGAUGUCGGAUUAGCUAGUUGGCGGGGUAAAGGCCCACCAAGGCGACGAUCCGUAGCUGAUCUGAGAGGAUGAUCAGCCACACUGGAACUGAGACACGGUCCAGACUCCUACGGGAGGCAGCAGUAGGGAAUAUUGGACAAUGGGCGCAAGCCUGAUCCAGCCAUACCGCGUGAGUGAAGAAGGCCUUCGGGUUGUAAAGCCCUUUUGUUGGGAAAGAAAAGCAGCAGGUUAAUACCCCGCUGUUCUGACGGUACCCAAAGAAUAAGCACCGGCUAACUUCGUG